UUCCUUCUGGAGAUCCCUCCCUUGGGAGUUUUUCUGCAAGCUUAGGGCAUGUGUUGGUAAUGCCUGUUCCCAAGGAACUGCAGUUCAGCUUGGAGCAUUGAGCAGCAUCUCCAGAGGACAAACUAAGGGAGGUACAACUCUGAGGUUGUACCAGACCUGGAAAGUAAUUACGCAUCAGCUACUUGGAAAGGAGACUUAAUGCCAGCAGGUUACCCAAAAGUUUUUUCUCACUGCUACUAUAAUAAGGCUGAGAUGAAGAAAUUGGACAUCAGUUGCCUUAGGCAUUCACUUGGCCCAGAAGGUAAAAAGUGGAGUAUGCUUAAUUCCCUUUUGGAGCAGCAAAGACGGCAUGGAAUGAUAGCAGAAAAGACAGAUGAGAAGUUGAGUGAGCUAGGUAAAUAUUAUUCUGACAUACAUCCAGACAGAAGAUAAAGGGACAGAUACAUGAAUAUUAUCUUUCCAUAACAGAGAUGAAUCCUACUUCGAGCUCUGUAAUCCAUGAGCAAAAUUCCAUAAGAAAUUCCUUUAAAAAGAAAACAGACAAGUAAACAGUAAUUCUACUAAUUUGCCAAGGUGAAUGUAUUCUACAUCCAAAUUGUAAAAUCUUUAAAUGUGAUUUGGAUUGGUGUUCCUGGUUGGUGCUCUCUUUAUAGCUAUUACUCUGCAGUUCUAUCUUGAAAUCUUUGUCCUUGAGCCUAUGGGAAAUAUCAGCCCAGAAUCUGAAUUACAUGAAUAAUUUUAUGAAUACUGUAACUAUAUACACACAGUGAAACACGUUCAUACUCUUUGUAUUUGAGAGAUCACCAUAGCAUCUCAGAACCUCAGCUAUGGACUGAUGUUCUGCAUUCUUUCUGUGUAUCAGGAAAAAAAACCCAAACAAUUAAGAUGAAAGUUUAGUUACUGGCAUUGAAUCAACAGGCUCCUUUCUAGCAUCUUUAUCUCUGAAAUCCAAAUUAGUUUUUAUAAAGGAUUAACUUGUGACAGAAAUUUGAAAAACAGAGGAGAACCUGUGCGAUCAAAGUUUUUUUAUGAUAAACCAUUGUGUAUUUGACAAAGUUUUAAAGGUGUAAAUAAGAGUUUAUGUGAAUCCCAUGGAAUUGGUAUCCACUGGAUGUCAUUCUGGAAAAAAACAGGUAUUGAGCAUAUAAAAUUAUCUGAUAUCAGUGUAAAUUAGUCGUUCUUCAAACCCUUUGGUCCAGUCAGGCAACGUUUGCUAAAUCAGAAGUAUUUGAAACACCAAAUGUAAGAAUUCCUUGUUUAUUUCAUUUCAGUUAUUUGAAACUAGUUUGUUUUGAAAUAUGGAUCUGCUCAUAUCUUUUAGCUGAUCAGUUUUAUAUCUUGCAUACCUAUAGACCCAAUUGGGCAGAAUACAAUGAACCUUUAUAUGGCAUUAGAGAUGAUGAAUUAUAAAUCACCAUAAGGAAUCACUGUAAUGAGGGAAAACACUGAGUGCAAUUGUAAUUCAGUGUUUAAUGCAGCAGUAAACAGGUGACAAAGCUUUGUGAUCUAUUUUGUGCCUUUUGUUUUUAAUAUCUAAAAAAAAAUUAUAAAUAAAAAAA
rnacentral:lncRNA from 7 species